rnacentral:tRNA from 1 species
GAGAGAUGGCUGAGUGGUCGAAGGCGACGGUCUCGAAAAUCGUUGUACGGUUCUACUGUACCGAGGGUUCGAAUCCCUCUCUCUCC